UUUUAAUGAACCUAUUUUUUCUCCAAAUAUUGUACCUAUUUUUUUUUUCUUUAUUACUUGUUUUAUGAAAAAUAAUUUGAUCAUCUUUUUAUUGUUUGUUUUAUGAAAACAAUUUUUUUUAAAUGAGCCUAUGUUUUCUCUCAAAAUAAUGUACCUAUUUUUUUAUUCUUUUUUUAUAAAUAAUGUACCUAUUUUUUCUCUAAUAAUGUACCUAGUAAAACUAUUUACCUAGUAUAAUGAACCUAUUUUUUUCUCUAAAUAAUGUACCUAUUUUUUUUCUCUCUAAUAAUGUAUACCUAGUAAAACAAUUUACCUAGUAUAAUGAACCUAUUUUUUUUCUUCUAAAUAGUGUACCUAUUUUUAAUUUAUAAAAAAUAUGCAUAAAUUUCAAUUAUACAACGUACCCAUUUUCUAUAAAUUAUUGUGUACCUAUUUUUAAUUUAUGAAAAAUAUACGGAAAUUUCAAUUACAAAGUAGUUGACCUAUUUUUGUUAAAUUUUUUUGGUAAAUAAUAUACCUAUAUUUUUAUAGGUAUAUAUAUAUAUAUAUAUAUAUAUAUUUUCAUAUAUACAUUAUUGGAUAUGUAAUUUACAUUUUUUUUUUAAUUUGCAAUUUUAAGGGGUCAUAUGUUAGAAGGAAGAGCAACCAAAAGAAAUGGGGUGAUUGAUAUACUAUUAAUAGGGAGUUUUAAUUACAAUUAUGGCAGUUAAUGGAAUGCUUGGAAUAAAUUAUAUAUAAAAUAUGAAGUCUGAUGGCAAAGAUAUAAAAACAUAGGAAUACUACGACCUCUUGUAUCCUAUUAGUCAUUUAAGUUUGAAAUUGAGUUUUACACAUAGAUUUAUAGAAUAAUAGGUAUAUGUAAAAGAAAUAGAAAUUGUAGGGACCUAUAUUAGUCAAGUCCAUAUACACGAUUCAUAAUAAACUCCACUCCACAGUAACUAAUGGAUUAUAAAUGAGUUGAUUUCGAGAAAGUUUCCUAGUAUCAGCUACAUUCAAAACGAAAAUGGUAAAAAUAUUUCAACUCUCGUGCGACCGAAAUUAGGGAGUGAAAAAUUGUCUCCUCUCUUUCUCUCAAUACCUGUAAGACCAAGAGGGGAUAAGAGGAUAUCCCAGCGGAAUAAUCAACGGCAGGAAUGAGCUUCCGGAACUCAAGAGUCGGCGCAAAGUCCCCGAAAUCAUCGAGGACCGAGUCAGUCUCCGCCACAACAAACAGCACUCCCUCUGCAUUGCAAUCGAUCUCGAUACGUCCCUCAUCAUUCAGCUUAAGGCGGCCGGCCACGGGGUAGAAGGGCACGAGGGCCUUGGCAAGGGAGCACUUGAACACCUCGGAAUCCAAAACACAGUUGUUUUGAAGAUGAUGCGCACCGUUUUGAACAUUUGGCCUCCUGUAGAAGUAGACACUUCCAACGUGAGUUCUCGAAAUCACGACAUCCAAGUCCGAUAUCCACAGUGCCCGUUUUGGCGUUUCCUCCUCUGGCUUCACUAUCAUUGACUCCCUCACUCUCACGUUGACCGCCAUCUUUUGCAACUCCCUGCUUAGGGCUGAGCACGGUUUGGUUUGGUUCGGGUUUUACCCAAAACCGUAAGCCGAAUCGUAGCUUUCGGUGGAGAGAUUUCUGGCACUGGAGCCGAACCACCAACUCCGGUUAACCGGUCAAACGGUUUGGUUUUCUCGGUUUUGGUGAUUAACCGGUGGCUGCGAAGGUACUGAGAUGGAGGUUGCGAGAAUACUGAGACGGAGCCUACGGGAUCUGGGUUCGACGACUUUGCAGCUUGCCCCUCCACCUNCCACAGCUCCAGCUUAUUUAUUCCCUUUGUAAAAAUGGCUGGUAUGAUUUUGUUCUUUUUGGACUACCAUACAAUAAGAAAUAGAUGAAUAAGAGAGGGAGGAAGAAGGAGAUGAAAAAAUCUGUGACAGAAUAGAAACAGAAGAGAGGAAGAAGAAAGAAGAGAGAGAGGAAAAAAGAAGAAGAAGCCGUCCAAGAAGAUAGAGAAUAAGUGGUGCCAAAAAAGAGAGAUCCUAACAUAUUUUUAUAAUAUUU
rnacentral:lncRNA from 1 species